rnacentral:tmRNA from 2 species
GGGGAUGCUAGGCAUCGAUAAUAAAAUUUUUUAAAAGCAUUCAGGACGUGCGUUUCAGCCGUCACGCUAAUCGCGCUGAAUAACAAUAAGUGUCAAAAACUUAUUCAGCAAAGUUGCAACUGCUUUCAGCAUGCCAACUUUUGCUACCGCUGUAGCUUAAUUACAAGCCGCAGCCAUCCGUCCGGCGACUCCUAAUAGCCGGUGAGCGGGUGUCAUUUAUUAGGAUAGGCUAAUCGGUUUGUUUUAGCUGGUUAGCUAAAACUUAAUAAAACUAGUUAUUGUUGGUUUUGUUCGGUUUUAACAGUAAUAGCGAAAUACCAAACCGGACUAUUUCUGUAAAAUUGCUUUUAAUUAUUUAUUAGACGUGGGUUCAAUUCCCACCAUCUCCACCG